UUGUUUUCUUCCACCUCCCUGAGACCCCUCUUUCUCCUCAGCAUGUCCCUUCUUGGCAUCCUCUUGCUGGAGAGGUGGAAGCCCCGGUUCCUGUUUGAUUUCUCAGCACAGCCAUCGGAGGAGCCGGGAGGGGAGAGUGAGGGGGUGACUUCAGGGGCACAACCUCACCUGCUCAGUGUCCCUGAGCUGUGCCACUGUCUGGCAGAGAGCUGGGUCACCUUCAGGCUGUACCUGCAGGAACUGCUACAGUACAAGAGGCAAAAUCCCGCCAAGUUCUGCAUGAGUGUGUGUUCAGGCUGCCUGGUUCUGGCUGUAGUUGGACACUAUGUUCCAGGCAUAAUGAUCUCCUACAUCAUUUUGCUCAGCAUUCUGCUCUGGCCCCUGGUGGUCUACCAUGAGCUGAUCCAGAGGAUGUACACACGUUUGGAGCCUGUCCUGAUGAAACUGGACUACAGUAUGAAGGCAGAGACGCUGCACCACAAGCAUGAGAAGAAGAAGCGACAAGGGAAGAGUGAGCCUGCAGCAGGUGAUGAGCCAACAGCAGAGACGGAGAGUGAGAGUGAGGCAGAGCUAUCAGGCUUCUCCCCAGUGGUGGAUGUGAAGAAGACUGCCCUGGCACUGUCCAUCACAGAUUCUGAGCUCUCUGAUGAAGAGGCUUCCAUCCUGGAGAGUGGGGGCUUUUCUGUCUCAAGGGCUACAACCCCACAGCUGACGGACGUUUCUGAAGACCUGGAUCAGCAGAGCCUGCACAGUGAGCCGGAGGAGUCGUUUUCCAAGGACCUGGCAGAGUUUCCCUCCGUGGAAGAAUAUCAUUCCAGAGACCUGGGACCACAGAGCGAUGAAGACGCAUUUGGUGUGCCUCUGGGUCCUGAGCUUGCUCACGCUGCCCGUGAGCUGGACUCGGCAGAGAAGGAGGCCGCGGACUCUGACCUCUCCAUCCUUCGCCUAGCAUCUCCUCUCCAUUUUGUAAAUACGCACUUCAAUGGGAGCGGGCAAGUGGCAGGAGGCAACGCAGAGCCAAAGACUGUCCCUGCCCCAGGCCUGGGCAUCUGCAUUGACACGCUGAGCGAGGAGAUCGUCACCACUGCCAUUACCACGGCCGUGCAGAACACCCUCUCUGCCCUGCUGCGGUCCUCGGAGGCCAGCGAGGGGCCCUCCCUCUCCGAGUUCCUCCCCACCGAGCCUGAAGAGAAACUGAGCUUCCAAGCACAGCUGUCAGAGAGCGAAGUGGUGGAGACAGAGACAGCAGCUUCACCAGAGGAUGAGGAGGAAGCAGAUGACUUUGAGCUACUGGAUCAGGGGGAGCUGGAGCAAAUGGAUGUAGAGCUGGGGCUCGGAGAGGAGCAGGAAGCACAAGAGUCUCCUGCCACUCCGGCUCCCCCCUCUCCCACGCUUGCUGAGCUGCCAAAGCAAGGAGAUGAGGAGGAGGCAGUGAUGACAGCAGCAUCUAUGUCUUAGGUCUUCUUCAUGCGCCCCCUUUUCCUCCAUUGUCACUGGAAAAAAGGAAGAACUUGCACGGUGAACAUGCAAGCCCGGCCUUCGCUGGCUGAGCGGGAGAUGCCCCUGCCCUGCGGCUGGGGAAGAGCCGGCUCCUAGAAGCCUUACGCCACAAUCGAAACACCAACCCCAGCAAACGCUUCCUAGUAAUGGUGCAGUAUUUUGGUCUGUCUUCUGUUUGUCUUUCGUUUUGCACGCAGAGUACCGAGCUAGCUGUAGCUGCUGCUAAUACCCACAUCCCCAGUAGGACAUAUGCAAUCUUAUUUUAUUGGGUUUUUAAAUGGCUCAAAGUGUAAAUAAUUUUAACUUUCAUUGGUUUCGUUUGGGGGGAGGGGUGGGGUGCACAGUCAAACUUGGCUCUCGGGGGCUAGCGGAGGGAAAGAGGUCUUUGGAGGGGAGGGUAGCAGUAAGGGGACAAAAGCAGACAGGCGCUGUGCAGCGAAGAGACCCCUUCUGCAACUUGUCACCAUCUUUCACGUCACUGCUGGAACAGGGUGUCGGGCGAUACCUGUUUUUUGUCUGUCUGAUUUGAGUUCUGCUACUGGGUGGCUGCGGAGUUUUUUGCAAUCAAUGAAAUUCGCUCCUGGCCCUGUUCAGUACUCGCGUUUCUUCCUGCCGUGGCCUCUCCGGGGCACCUCUCGCCGUCCACACCGCUGACCCUGCUAGC